UAAGACGUAGGGGGCGAGCGUUGUCCGGAUUUAUUGGGCGUAAAGCGCGCGUAGGCGGCCCGUUAAGUCGGAUGUGAAAACCCGGGGCUCAACCCCGGGCCUGCAUUCGAUACUGCCGGGCUAGAGGCAGGUAGGGGAGAGUGGAAUUCCUGGUGUAGCGGUGAAAUGCGCAGAUAUCAGGAGGAACACCGGUGGCGAAGGCGGCUCUCUGGGCCUGUCCUGACGCUCAGGCGCGAAAGCUAGGGGAGCAAACAGGAUUAGAUACCCUGGUAGUCCUAGCCGUAAACGUUGGGUGCUAGGUGUGGGACGGCGUUUGACUCGUUCCGUGCCGUAGCUAACGCAUUAAGCACCCCGCCUGGGGAGUACGGCCGCAAGGCUA
rnacentral:rRNA from 1 species